rnacentral:rRNA from 1 species
AACAGGCUUAUCUCCCCCAAGAGUCCACAUCGACGGGGAGGUUUGGCACCUCGAUGUCGGCUCAUCACAUCCUGGGGCUGUAGUAGGUCCCAAGGGUUGGGCUGUUCGCCCAUUAAAGUGGUACGCGGGCUGGGUUCAGAACGUCGUGAGACAGUUCGGUCCCUAUCCGUCGCAGGCGUAGGAAAUUUGAGAAGACCUGUCCUUAGUACGAGAGGACCGGGAUGGACGUACCUCUGGUGUACCAGUUGUCCUGCCAAGGGCAUGGCUGGGUAGCU